rnacentral:rRNA from 1 species
GUCUUUUUGAGUUAUUUUUAAAGUCUGACCUGCCCACUGAAUAUUUUUAAAUGGCCGCAGUAUUCUAACUGUGCAAAGGUAGCAUAAUCAUUAGUCUUUUAAUUGAAGGCUGGUAUGAACGGUUGGACGAAGUAUAAGCUGUUUCAUAUAAAAUUAUAUUAGAAUUUUAUAUUUUAGUUAAAAAGCUAAAAUAUUAUUAAAAGACGAGAAGACCCUAUAAAUCUUUAUAUUUAAUAUUAUUCAAAUUUUUUUGAUUAAUUUUAUUUUUAUAAUAUUAAAUAUUUUGUUGGGGUGAUAUUAAAAUUUAACAAACUUUUAAUUUUGAAUUAGAACAUUAAUUUAUGAAUAGUUGAUCCAUUAUUAAUGAUUAUAAGAUUAAGUUACUUUAGGGAUAACAGCGUAAUUUUUUUUGAGAGUUCAUAUCGACAAAAAAGUUUGCGACCUCGAUGUUGGAUUAAGAUAUAUAUUUAGGUGUAGCCGUUUAAAUAUUAAGUCUGUUCGACUUUUAAAUUCUUACGUGAUCUGAGUUCAG